CGACUCUCGGCAACGGAUAUCUCGGCUCUCGCAUCGAUGAAGAACGUAGCGAACUGCGAUACUUGGUGUGAAUUGCAGAAUCCCGUGAACCAUCGAGUCUUUGAACGCAAGUUGCGCCCGAAUCCAUUUAUUUGGACGAGGGCACGUUUGCCUGGGUGUCACAC
rnacentral:rRNA from 1 species